UUACAUUUAAAUAGAAACAGUGUCGUUUCCCUUUGGCCUAUUGCGCAUUGCCCCUUUCCCAUUCCCUGUGGCUUUGGCGUUUGUUGUUUCUUCUUCAGUUCUUCAUUUUUCAGUGACCAGUCUCCCUCCCCCUCACCUCUCAGUCUCAGCUCACAGCCUCACACGAUUCUCUUAAUCUCUCUCAUCUCAACACUUUUUCAUUUCUUCUUCUGUCAAAGUCAGUCUUAGUUCUUCAUGCCGCCGCAGUGUUGCUCUAUCUUGCCAAAUUGUCAUCGUCCUGCUGAGUGCCAUCUUCCCAAUUGGUUGGAAAUGCAGUGACGGAAUGAAUGUUGCAGGAUGUAAAUGGGGUUGCAUGCAAACUAUUUGUGAAAAUGCCUCAAGGGCCAUACAUGAGAAAAAAUGUUUGAUCAGGUUCAUGAUCAGAUCGAGUUCACUUUAUUUUUUUCUGAGAAUGGAUGACUACAUAUAGUUCACUUUA